rnacentral:lncRNA from 1 species
CAAAUUUAUUUAGUUUAGAAAAACGUGUAAUUCAAAUCAAAUCGGUACCAUUACUAAAUUCGAGGUUACUCGACAUAUUAUAAUACAGUGCCUCAUUAGUGCUGAAAUUAAAACAGGCAAUGUCAUGACAAUAAUAAGAAAAACGAGUAGGCUUUGCUGAUUGUUGAAUGCCAUACGGUGACCUGCAGUUGUUAAUUUCUGUGUCAUUUGGUCUUGUGGAGAGUUGUCUCAUUGGCACUCAUACCACAUCAUCUUUUUUCUACUCACCAACACACCUGUUAGUGAUCUCAGGUACAUGUAUAUUUCGAGAGGCUACUGUUUA